UACGUAGGGUGCGAGCGUUAAUCGGAAUUACUGGGCGUAAAGCGUGCGUAGGCGGUUCGUUAAGUUCGUUGUGAAAGCCCCGGGCUCAACCUGGGAAUGGCAAUGGAAACUGGCGGGCUGGAGUAUGGCAGAGGGGGGGUGGAAUUCCGCGUGUAGCAGUGAAAUGCGUAGAGAUGCGGAGGAACACCGAUGGCGAAGGCAGCCCCCCUGGGCUGACACUGACGCUCAGGCACGAAAGCGUGGGGAGCAAACAGG
rnacentral:rRNA from 1 species